AACAAUAACCCCAAUAGCUUAGGAGGAGAUUGCCUGAUCCGGUAAGUAGCCACCCCAAGAAACGAACUAGAGUUGUUCAUCCCCCUAUCUUGCCUCCACCUACAAUUCAACUUGCCUGACCUAACAAACCCUGUCAGCAUUAUGGUCGCUCGCAUGGUGACCUGCCCUAUCGGCGUAUCAAUCAUGCCCGUUAUUGGUGUGGAAACACCCAACAUCU
rnacentral:lncRNA from 1 species